UACUAGUUAGCUCAGUUCGUAGAGUGCUCCACUGCAAAUGGAGAGGUGCUUGGUUUGAGACCAGGACAAGGUG
rnacentral:tRNA from 2 species